GUGUAUUCUGACUGUGAGGUUUUGAAGCUUUUAUGUGCAAUAGUGUGUUUUCUGGUGUUUAUAAUUAUUUGCACUCUGAUAUCUGGAUCAGUUUAUAAAAACAGACAUCCAGUGAAGACUUUGAAGUUUAACCAAAAAUAUGCUGCCUGCGGUUGCUAUACUACCUACGUGGUAAGUCUUAACAACAACAUAUAAAAAAAUGUAUUUCAUUGUGUGCCUUUCGAAUAUCUGAGUAUGUUUAAAAAACCACGGUGCAAACAUUUAUAAAUAAAGUGCUUACUUGUUCAA